ACAUUGACAGCUGUUACAGAGGAGGAAGCAACAGAGACACUUUAUGAGAGUGAUGAUGGAAAUGCAGAGGAAGAGGGUCCAGCCACUUCUCCAACAAACCUUUCCUCACUCCCUGUAAAGCAGCUGUAUAAGAAAUAUUUGAUCAAGAAAGUAAAAACAUGCGACUUGGAAAUGGAGCACUUCAAGCAGCAGAUCCAAAAGACCAAGAUUGAGAUUUUACUGCUGGAACAUCAGUUAAGGGUGGGUGAAGUGGUCAGAGAUGGACGAAUUAUUUCAGUGUUUGAACAACAUAAUAAUAUACUUAUUAAUACUUUGUGUACAGGAAAUACAGGCGACCAAUAAAGCCAGUUGAACCAAAAAUCUGUUUAUUCUUC